UACGUAGGGUGCAGGCGUUAAUCGGAAUUACUGGGCGUAAAGCGUGCGCAGGCGGUCUUGCAAGACAGAUGUGAAAUCCCCGGGCUUAACCUGGGAACUGCAUUUGUGACUGCAAGGCUGGAGUGCGGCAGAGGGGGAUGGAAUUCCGCGUGUAGCAGUGAAAUGCGUAGAUAUGCGGAGGAACACCGAUGGCGAAGGCAAUCCCCUGGGCCUGCACUGACGCUCAUGCACGAAAGCGUGGGGAGCAAACAGG
rnacentral:rRNA from 1 species